rnacentral:misc_RNA from 1 species
GGAACUAAAAGUCGUAACAAGGUUUCUGUAGGUGAACCUGCGGAAGGAUCAUUAUCGAAAUACUUAUUUAGCGUUCCGUGCUAUCCCAUUGUUUUAUUUACCCUGUUGCUUCCACUGGAUGAGUUUCCAUACCUUGUGUUUGAGAAACUUUGGCUUGUGUAAGAUUCAUUCACGGCCAGCCAGUGAGAAGACCAUUUACAAAACCCUGUUAAGAACCAAUUGUCUGAAUAUUUUACUCCAAUGAAAUAAAACUUUCAACAACGGAUCUCUAGGCUCUU